ensembl:lncRNA
UUUGGACACACACACACACACACACACACACACACACACACACACACACACACACACACACACACACACACACACACAGCUCAGAUGUCUGCUGCUCCACUUUGGAAUCUAAUCUGUCUCUUCCUCCUAGCAGCCAAUCAGAGGCAGCCAUUGCUGCACCAACAGCCAAUCAAUUAACUUUAACUUGAGGAAGGAUCCUCUCCUCUCCUCCCCUCCUCCUCCUCUCCUCUCCCCUCCUCCUCCUCUCCUCUCCUCUCUCCCCUCCUCUCCUCUCCCCUCCUCCUCCUCUCCUCUCCCCCUCCUCCUCUCCUCUCCCCUCCUCCUCUCCUCUCUCCCCUCCUCUCCUCUCCUCUCCUCUCCCCUCCUCCUCCUCUCCUCUCCUCCCCUCUCCUCCCCUCCUCUCCUCUCCUCUCUCCCCUCCUCCUCCUCCUCCUCCUCUCCUCUCCUCUCCUCUCCUCCCCUCUCCUUCUCUCUUCUCCUCUCCUCUCUCCCCUCCUCCUCCUCUCCUCUCCUCCCCUCUUCCUCCUCUCCUCUCCUCUCCUCCCCUCUCCUUCUCUCUUCUCCUCUCCUCUCUCCCCCUCCUCCUCCUCCUCCUCCUCUCCUCUCCUCCUCUCCUCUCCUCUCCUCUCCUCUCUCCCCUCCUCCUCCUCUCCUCUCCUCCCCUCUCCUCCUCUCCUCUCCUCUCCUCUCUCCCCUCCUCCUCCUCUCCUCUCCUCCCCUCCUCCUCCCCUCCUCCUCCUCUCCUCUCCUCCCCUCUCCUCCUCUCCUCUCCUCCCUCUCCUCUCCUCCCCUCCUCCUCCUCUCCUCUCCCCUCCUCCUCCUCUCCUCUCCUCUCUCCCCUCCUCUCCUCUCCCCUCCUCCUCCUCUCCUCUCCCCCUCCUCCUCUCCUCUCCCCUCCUCCUCUCCUCUCUCCCCUCCUCUCCUCUCCUCUCCUCUCCCCUCCUCCUCCUCUCCUCUCCUCCCCUCUCCUCCCCUCCUCUCCUCUCCUCUCUCCCCUCCUCCUCCUCCUCCUCCUCUCCUCUCCUCUCCUCUCCUCCCCUCUCCUUCUCUCAUCUCCUCUCCUCUCUCCCCUCUCCUCCUCCUCUCCUCUCCUCCCCUCUCCUCCUCUCCUCUCCUCUCCUCCCCUCUCCUUCUCUCUUCUCUCUCCUCUCUCCCCCUCCUCCUCCUCCUCCCCUCAUCUCCUCCUCCUCCUCUCCUCUCCUCUCCUCUCCUCUCUCCCCUCCUCCUCCUCUCCUCUCCUCCCCUCUCUCCUCUCCUCUCCUCUCCUCUCUCCCCUCCUCCUCCUCUCCUCUCCUCCCUCCUCCUCCCCUCCGCCUCCUCUCCUCUCCUCCCCUCUCCUCCUCUCCUCUCCUCUCCUCUCAUCCUCUCCCCUCCUCCUCCUCUCCUCUCUCCCCUCCUCCUCCUCUCCUCUCUCCCUCCUCUCCUCUCCUCUCUCCCCUCCUCUCCUCCUCCUCUCCUCUCCCCUCCUCCUCCUCCUCCUCUCCUCUCUCUCCCUCCCUCCUCUCCUCACUCUCCUCUCCUCCGCCUCUCCCUCCUCUCCGCCUCUCUCUCCUCUCCUCUCCCUCCUCUCUCU